rnacentral:rRNA from 1 species
UACGAAGGGGGGCUAGCGUUGCUCGGAAUGACUGGGCGUAAAGGGCGCGUAGGCGGAUGGCACAGUCAGAUGUGAAAUUCCCGGGCUUAACCUGGGGGCUGCAUUUGAUACGUGUGAUCUGGAGUGAGGAAGAGGGUCGUGGAAUUCCCAGUGUAGAGGUGAAAUUCGUAGAUAUUGGGAAGAACACCGGUGGCGAAGGCGGCGACCUGGUCCUUGACUGACGCUGAGGCGCGAAAGCGUGGGGAGCAAACAGG